GUCUUGGAGAGUAGAUUUUGACUAUUAAUUUCUCUUAUAACAUCAAAUGUUACAAAAUUAACAUCAUAUCAAAAGCACUUUGAAAUAGAAAAUCUAUUGAUGUAAUUUUUGUACUCUAAAUAUACAUAUAUUUUGACUAAUUGUUGAUCAAAAUUUACAAAAUUUAUCUUUUUCAAAUAAAAAUAUGUCUUACAUAAAUGGACAAGAGAGCACUUCCCUGGCAAUUCAGCUAUCGUUUCGAUGAGUGCCGAAAAUUGGCAUAGCCCGUGGAUUUUGGCUAAGGUAAUGAAAAGAGUUCAAGGGACAUGUGAUGGAGAAUAAGAGAGCAAAAUUUCUAUUGAGUAGGAAAAGACAACGAGUGUCAUCCCAUAGCAAACCAUAUUAGGAAUUUCAAUUUCAUUUUACAAUUUUUUCGUUCACCAGCGAAAAGAUCAAAAUUCACGAAAUUUCAGUCAUUUGUCAUCUCUGCUCUAUGUCUUACAUGUCAGUGAAAGAAAAUUCCAAAUUUACAUAUUUCGUUCUCCUCCAAAAUUCCUAAAAUUUGUAAAAUUUUCGUCGAAUUUUUAAUCCAUGAACCAUAUACUACCACUCUUUCUAAAACUAAACGAGGCUAUCGCGAGACUAGCCUUUUCAUCAACAACGAUAUUGGCACCGGAGGAGGAGGAUGGCUGCCCUUCUGAUCACGAAGAUGACGGCAAUAGUGGCCACACACCCAAUCUGAGGAGGCGGUGUGGGUUACGAGGAACGAGGAAAGGGAUGGGAUGUGGCACGGUGGCCUCCUCAUCCGAGGAGUGGUCGUAGCACGAGGAGAUGAGAGCAAUUUAGUCUCUAGAAAAUCACAUGGAUGAGAAUAGAGUAGCGUGAGCAACAUGAGAUGCUUAGGGAGUAGGGGAGAUUUUAGUGUGAUGGGAAUACUAAAAGUAUGGAAAGAAUCUGGUUGAAAUGUUAAUUAAUUCCCAUGAUGGAGACAACGCUCCACCUUGGCCCUAUAAAAAUAUGGAAAGAAUUCAGUAAUUAACUACAAUAUUAAUAGUUAAAUCAAAUGAUUUAAAGAGUAACUUUGCAUCUCAGUCGUUUGAAGAGAGGUGAUGGGGGUCGAGAUCUAUUUUUCUUGCCAAACUUUUCAUUUUUUACAUAAUUAUAUAUUAUAAUAUAGAUAUAGAUGGCAUACAAUAAGAUUUUGGUGGAAAAGGAUUUUUUUAAUUAUUUCCACUGAAAAUUAUGAACUUAUGAGAAGGGACAUUGGUGAGCCUGACGUGUGGAUCCCAGCCCUACAGCCAUUAGUGACUGAACAUUCCUUCGGAUGUCUGAUUCAACGGCCACCAUGAGCCGAGGUGUCCAAAAGUAGCCGGCCAACGCGUGCUGUCCGUCCGAUCCCGGAACCAUCGGAACAAGCCGCGCGCCGCCCACAAGGCCACAAGGGCCAAGGAUCUUGUCGUCCCGCUCCCGCCUCGAAGGAGACCUCAGAAUUCUUCCCGCGCGGUCGCACCAAAUUCCCCUUCCACCGCCGCCGCCUCGCGCUAUUCACCAAUCACCGCCCCCACCCGGUCCUAGACCGCUUCCUUGGCUUUCUGAGCGUUCUGGAGUGGCAGAUCCGGCCCUCUCCUGCAGCGGCAUUCCGUCGAGCACGUCGCGCGCGGCUGUGGGAGGGCGUCGGGGAGGAUGUACGGGAGGCGCGCGUCGCAGCUGCUGAGGGAGAUCGACUCCUCCGAGGCCGGCCAACUCGCGUCUUUUAACAGCGACGUGUUUGAUCAGAUCAUCAGAGAGUGCAAUGAGCACAAUGCACAGUUUCAGUCAUUGAUCAGGAAAAUGGUGGAGCAAAACUUAGAUAUCGAAACAACUAGAAACGAGGAUCACUAUGGUGCAGCUAUCCACCAUCUUUCCCUGCUCUGUAACAAAAGAUGCCUCAUGGCUUACAUGUACAACCGAGCAGAAAUUAUUCAGAGUUUUAGAUGGAAAGUUGGUCCUGUGCUUCCUCAUGACAUACAAGAAAAGCUCCACUUCUCAGAGAAAGAGUAUUUCAAGAACCAUUCUGCGGCCAUUAAGUCAUACAUAUCAGAGAUGGAUAUAGAUUUAACAGUGGACAUGGUACCUCCCAAGGAUCCUUACAUUCAGGUUCGGGUGCUGGAGGACAUUGGUGAAGUAUCUCUUGGCGACCACUCAGUAUCAUUAACCAAGAACUCACUCCAUUUCCUAAGGCGCACAGAUGCUGAACAAUUUAUAUCACAGGGUCUUAUGGAAGAAUUUCUGGAGUAGGGACCACAUAUGAUGUUCAUUGAAUAGAGACUAUGAGAAACAACGAAAGAACAUAUGCCAUCUUGGGUGUGAAGAGUUCGGAUUCUAACUUGUUCUAGUCAGAAGCCACAACACUGGCUCAUUCCACAUUUCCACCUUUGUAUCAAAUCACAAGUGACCUUCCAUCUUCGCCAGGAAGCAAGACUAGCGCAGUACAUGCAGGAAAGUUUCUGCUUGCUGGAUUUAUGUAAAAGUGUACUGAACAUCACUUAGUUAAGGUUGGUAUCUUCUUUUAGUCACCACAAGUUUCUUAAGAUGCUUUUAUUCCUGGGAAACAUUCAAACGGGCGUGGCUAUCUCUGCACUAACUGAAAUUUAGAGAACUCUAGCUUGAAGAUUGCUAAAUUACUUGAGGUAAAAACCAUAUGACAUCAGUAUUGUAUGUAUGUUGCUUUUAAUAUCCACGAACUUUCAAAUUUGAGUUGUAUCAUUGCCUGAUGCUUAUUGACGAUGCACUUGUUUGAGAAUGCAGUACCAUGCCAUAAUUCCUUACCUAACCUCUACCUGUACAUACUUCUUUACUGUGCUACCUGAAAUGUCCUACCCAGUAUAUUAUGCAUACAUGCAGAAGUUAUAUGCCCAAACUGUGCUGUGAAGGUAAAAACAUAAAAAUGCAUGUACCAAGUAUAAAUAUCAGACUGAAACGCCUUUCUCUCUGUUUACAAGAGCUUCAUUCGACAAUGUCGUUCAUAUUUACUUUGUAUGCCAGUGCAUUGCUUUGGCCUUUGAAAUGCUCUAAUCGUUGAGAUUGCCAUGCUGUAUACUUGUGCGUUAUGGUGAAAAUAGUUAAAAUGUUUGGCAGGCACAACUUGACGUCUUUACUUUCUGUUCAGGUGUAUUUAUAAAUGAUGCUUUAAUGUGAUUAUUAGCGGGGGAAAAGAACCUUCACCGUAUCAUACUCUGCCGUUCCCUUUUCCGGUCCUUGUUUUGUCUACAAGAUGCAGCUGAACAAACUUCUUGCAGUGUCGUGUCAAAAAAAGGAAGAAUUUCCAGUAGUGUCUUGUACGUCAGCUUUGUUGGCAUGAACACAAGCUAGUCCUGAAAUAUUUAGCCUUUUCGGUUCAGUUCCUGCAAUGUUGGCGUUAGGUAUUCUUAGAAGCUACGGCCCGAUUGGGGUCCAUACUGCAAUUCAAAUAUAAAAACUAACUUACCAUCCAAAACUUAGGUAUUUUGAAAUAAGGAGGCAACUUUAUUUCAUAUUC